GAUGAACGCUAGCGAUAGGCUUAACACAUGCAAGUCGAGGGGCGGCACAAGGUAGCUUGCUAUCUGGGUGGCGACCGGCGCACGGGUGCGUAACGCGUAUGCAACUUGCCCUAUACAGGAGGAUAACCCGUUGAAAGACGGACUAAUACUGCGUAUGCUCACAACUUGGCAUCAAGUGGUGAGGAAAGAAAUUCGGUAUAGGAUAGGCAUGCGUCCCAUUAGCUUGUUGGUGAGGUAACGGCCCACCAAGGCAACGAUGGGUAGGGGAACUGAGAGGUUUAUCCCCCACACUGGUACUGAGACACGGACCAGACUCCUACGGGAGGCAGCAGUGAGGAAUAUUGGUCAAUGGGCGCGAGCCUGAACCAGCCAAGUCGCGUGAAGGAUGACUGUCUUAUGGAUUGUAAACUUCUUUUAUACGGGAAUAACAAGAGUCACGUGUGACUCCCUGCAUGUACCGUAUGAAUAAGCAUCGGCUAACUCCGUG
rnacentral:rRNA from 1 species